UGACCUGACGGGAUUUGAAAUACGUCAACCUUCUGAUCUGGAGUCAGACGCGCUACCGUUGCGCCACCGAGUC